rnacentral:rRNA from 1 species
AUAUAGCUGGUUUUCUGCGAAAUUUGUUUUAGCAAAUUGUUUAUUAUGUUAUUAUUAGUAGGUAUAGCACUGAAUAUCUUGUAUAUAUAUAUAUAUACAUACAGAAGGAGUAUUGUAAAUACUUAUUUCAGAUAUUUAAUCUCAGAAUGAUUAAUAAGAUAAAAUAAACGAUCAGACUUAUUGCGAUAAGGUGGUAAGUCGAAAGGGAAACAGCCCAGAACAGUAUAUAAAGCUCCUAAAUCAUUAUUCAGUGAAAUAAAAGAUAUAGUUAUUAUUU